GCCAAGUUCUUGUUUUUGGUCUCGCAUAUAUUUCCAUAGCUUCAGCUAAGAGUGCAUGUUCUAUACAAGAUAUGUAGAUGACGUAGUGACAGUAUGGAAGCAGGGACACAAUCCAUCAAUCCUAGCUGAGAGUAUGAGUAUGGAAGCAUAUGGAUUAGUUUUACAACAGCAACAAGCAAGUACAAUGUCAACUCAUUUUUUAGAUAUAGGUUUAUGCCUCUCUAAUACAAGGAUCUACAUUACAGUUUACAGAAAACCUACUUAUGAGCCAGUUAUCAUUCCGAAGUGGUCUCAUGACCCAACCUCCUAUAAACUCGCCGCUUUUAGAUUC
rnacentral:lncRNA from 1 species